ensembl:snRNA U6 U6 spliceosomal RNA
GUGCUCAGUUCACAGCACAUGUGCUAAAACUGGAACAAUACAGAGAUUAGCAUGGCCCUGGCACAAAGAUGAUGUGCAAAUUCAUGAAGUGUUCCAUAUAAAA